GGACUGAUGGGCUUUGGCGAGAGAAUACGAUGUUGACAUUGAGAAGUACGUAUCCAAUUUUGUCAUGCUAAUAAUAAACAAGUAAUCAUGCGAUGUUGCUCGUACAAUUAGGGAUUAAUAGUACUCGCCAUCGCAUGAUUACCUAUACUUAGCAUGUCAAGGGCAGAUAAAGAUUAUAUUUCCAUGUUUUCUAAUUGUUUCUUGCUGUUCGUUGGCUCAAUAACAAAGUAACUUUCAAUCCUACUAAGCACAAAACAUGAGUAAGUAUUUGACACGAAAACGAGGCCAUUGGGUAAAAGAGAAUAAACGGUAAGGUCUACUUAUCAAAAUCAUACCAUUACCUAUACGAAUGUAACGUGUUUUGAUCAAGUCCGCGUAAGGGAGUGGUCAUUAUUUAUGGGGAGGGGCGGGGGG